GAUGAACGCUAGCGACAGGCCUAACACAUGCAAGUCGAGGGGCAGCACUUCGGGUGGCGACCGGCGCACGGGUGAGUAACGCGUAUGCAACCUACCCAUAUCAGGGGGAUAGCCUUCCGAAAGGGAGAUUAACACCGCAUAAUACUACGAAAUGGCAUCAUUUUGUAGUUAAAUAUUUAUAGGAUAUGGAUGGGCAUGCGUCUGAUUAGGUAGUUGGUGAGGUAACGGCUCACCAAGCCGACGAUCAGUAGGGGUUCUGAGAGGAAGGUCCCCCACACUGGUACUGAGACACGGACCAGACUCCUACGGGAGGCAGCAGUGAGGAAUAUUGGUCAAUGGGCGCGAGCCUGAACCAGCCAAGUCGCGUGAAGGAUGACAGCGUUAUGCGUUGUAAACUUCUUUUGUCAGGGAAUAAAAAUGGGGACGUGUCCCCAGUUGUAUGUACCUGAAGAAUAAGCAUCGGCUAACUCCGUGCCAGCAGCCGCCGUAA
rnacentral:rRNA from 1 species